rnacentral:rRNA from 1 species
UACGUAGGGUGCGAGCGUUAAUCGGAAUUACUGGGCGUAAAGUGUGCGCAGGCGGCAGAGCAAGUCGAGUGUGAAAGCCCCGGGCUUAACUUGGGAAUUGCGCUCGAAACUACUUUGCUGGAGUGUGGCAAAGGAAGGUGGAAUUCCACGUGUAGCGGUGAAAUGCGUAGAGAUGUGGAGGAACACCAAUGGCGAAGGCAGCCUUCUGGGCCAACACUGACGCUCAUGCACGAAAGCGUGGGGAGCAAACAGG